rnacentral:rRNA from 1 species
GAUGAAUGCUGGCGGCGUGCCUAAUACAUGCAAGUCGAGCGGUAAGGCCCUUCGGGGUACACGAGCGGCAGACGGCUGAGUAACGCGUGGGGAACAUGCCCCAAAGUGAGGGAUAACGCACCGAAAGGUGUGCUAAUACCGCAUAUGGUCUUCGGAUUAAAGGAUUUAUCCGCUUUGGGAGUGGCCCGCGUACGAUUAGAUUGUUGGUGAGGUAACGGCUCACCAAGUCGACGAUCGUUAACUGGUCUGAGAGGAUGAUCAGUCAGACUGGAACUGAGACACGGUCCAGACUCCUACGGGAGGCAGCAGUAAGGAAUCUUCCACAAUGGGCGAAAGCCUGAUGGAGCAACGCCGCGUGCAGGAUGAAGGCCCUCGGGUCGUAAACUGCUUUAUGAGUGAAGAAUAUGACGGUAACUCAUGAAUAAGCACCGGCUAACUACGUGCCAGCAGCCGCGGUAAU